rnacentral:rRNA from 1 species
AUGAUAUCUGACAAUAUUCUUUUAGCAUAUGAAAUGACUCACUUUUUGCAGAGGAAGAGGGGUGGAAGAGUAAGUUAUGCUGCUAUCAAACUUGACACGAGCAAGGCUUAUGAUCGAGUUGAAUGGAAGUUCUUGCAAGGAAUCAUGUUGAAACUCGGUUUCAAUAGAAGUUGGGUGGAGCUCGUGAUGAAUUGUGUGACAACGGUGAAAUACCAAAUCAAAGUUAAUGGGGACGUCACAGAGAUAAUUAUUCCCAAGAGGGGGCUUCGUCAAGGUGAUUCACUUCUUCUCCUAGAAGUAAAUGCCAACAGCAGUCGAGAGCUUAAUCAAAUUCUGAACUCCUAUGAAGCUUGCUCGGGCUAG